rnacentral:rRNA from 1 species
AUUUUAAAAAUUAAAAAAAAUAAAAGAAUUAAAGAAGUUAAGUAUAUAUAAUGGAUACCUUGAUUUAAAGUAAAAAAGGGCGUUUAAAAAACGAAAAUUGUAUUGAGUCAUAACACUGUAAAAUACAAGUACCCUAAGAGAAAACUUUUCUUUUAUUGUAAAAUUUAUACUUAGUGAAUUGAAACAUCUAAGUAACUAAAGGAAAAAAAAUCAACCGAGAUUCCGUUAGUAGUGGCGAGCGAAUGCGGAUUAGAUCUUAAAGUUUUAAAAAAUUUUUAAAAAUAUUUUUGAAAAAAUAACCAAAGAGGGUGAUAGUCCCGUUUAUAAAAAAUUUUUUAAUAUAACUUUUGAGUAGAUUGAGAUUUGUAAGUCUUUUUUGAAUAUAGGAAAUCCACUUUCUAAAUCUAAAUAUUACUUUAAAAUCUAUAGUGUACUAGUACCGUAAGGGAAAGGUGAAAAGAAAUCCAAAAGGAUAGUGAAAUAGAUCUUGAAAUUAUAUAUAUAUAAGCAGUUGGAGCAAUUUUUUGUGACAAUGUACCUUUUGUAUAAUGGGUCAGCGAGUUAAUUAAAAAAGCAAGCUUAAGUUUAUAAAAUGUAGGCGUAGUGAAAUCAAGUUUUAAAAGACGUUUUAGUUUUUUUAAUUAGACCCGAAACCAAGUGAUCUAGUUAUUUACAGGUUGAAGUUAUUUUUAUAAUGGAGGACCGAACUCGUGUAUGUGGAAAAAUACUGAGAUGAUAAAUGACUAGGGGUGAAAGGCCAAUCAAACUUGGAGAUAGCUGGUUUUCCGCGAAAUCUAUUUUAGUAGAGUCUUUUAUUUUUUUUUUUAAUAGGGGUAGAGCUCUUAAUGAGCUAGGGGGACAUAGCGUUUUACCAAACUCAACUAAACUUCGAAUACUAUUAAAAUUAUUUAAAGGAAACGAACUGUGAGUGCUAAGAUUCAUAGUUGAAAGGGAAAAAGCCCAGAUUGCCAGAUAAGGUCCUUAAAAAAAAUUUAGUGAUAAAGGAAUUUUAUAUUAAAGACAACUAAAAGGUAGGCUUAGAAGCAGCCAUCCUUUAAAGAAAGCGUAAAAGCUCAUUAGUUUUUAAUAUUUUUAAAAUAUUUAAUAUAUUUUUCCGAAAAUGUAAAGGGACUUAAAUUUUUUACCGAAUCUGCAAAUAUUUUGGUAGCGGAAUAUUUUGUUUUGCGUUGAAGAAAAAUUGUGAAAUUUUUUUGAGUUUUCAAAAUAAAUAAUGCUGACAUGAGUAACGAUAAAUAAUGUUAAAAAACAUUAUCGCCGAAAGUUUUAGGUUUUUUAUGUAACGGUUAAGCUGCAUAAAGUUAGUCGGUUUCUAAAAAAAAAGUGAACACUUUUUUUUGAUGAAUAUAAGAUUUAUAUUUCUUAACAUUUUUAAUUAGUGACAAAGUUAUAAAAAAUGUUUUUGCUUUAUUUUACAAAAAAAUUUUUUUUUAUAACUUUCUAGAAAAAACUUUAAAAUUUUAUAAAUACCGUACUAAAACCGACACAGGUAAAUAGGUAGAGUAUACUAAGGCGCUUGAAAGAACAAUGUUGAAGGAAUUCGGCAAAAUGACUCCGUAACUUCGGGAGAAGGGGUGCUUUGAAAAAAGUGGCACAGAAUAGAGGGUAGCGACUGUUUAUUAAAAACACAGGACUCUGCUAAAUUGUAAAAUGAUGUAUUGGGUCUGACACCUGCCCGGUGCUAGAUUACUAACUUGAUAAAUGAAUAGUUUUGAUUAGAAGUUCUAGUAAACGGCGGCUGUAACUCUAACGGUCCUAAGGUAGCGAAAUUCCUUGUCGAUUAAUUAUCGACCUGCAUGAAUGGUGUAACGACUUCCCUACUGUCUCCAACAUUGAUUCAGUGAAAUUGAAUUCUCCGUGAAGAUGCGGAGUACUUGCAGCUAGACGGAAAGACCCCGUGCACCUUUACUAUAGUUUUGCAGUGUUUUUGGAAAUUAAAUUUGUAGAAUAGAUGGUAGUUUAUGAAACCUUAGCGCAAGCUAAUUGUGGAAACGUCAGUGAAAUACCUCAAUUUAAUUCUUUGAAAACUAAUCUUUUUUUAUUAUAAGCUUUAUAAUUAUAAUAUAAAAUAAAUUUUUUAUUUUAUAUAGAUACAUUGUAAAAUGGGUAGUUUAGCUGGGGCGGUAGCCUCCUAAAGAGUAACGGAGGUGUACAAAGGUAAGUUCGUUUUGGUUUAGAAAUUAAAAUGUGAGUGUAAUGGCAAAAACUUGCUUGACUGUAAGAUUGACAAAUCGAACAGGGACGUAAGUCGGUCAUAGUGAUCCGGUGAUUUUGUGUGGAAAAGUCAUCGCUCAACGGAUAAAAGGUACGCCGGGGAUAACAGGCUAAUGACUCUUGAGAGCUCUUAUCGACGGAGUAGAUUGGCACCUCGAUGUCGGCUCAUCACAUCCUGAAGCUGAAAAAGGUUUCAAGGGUUCGUCUGUUCGCCGAUUAAAGUGGUACGUGAGCUGGGUUUAGAACGUCGUGAGACAGUUUGGUCCCUAUCUACUGUAAGUGUAAAAGAAUUGAAGAUGUCUAACUCUAGUACGAGAGGACCGAGAAGGAAAUACCUAUGGUGUUCUGGUUGUUUUUUGUUAUAAGCAUUGCCAGGUAGCUACGUAUUAUUUUUAUAAUCGCUGAAAGCAUAUAAGCGAGAAGAUUUGUCUAAAAAAAAUUCUUUUAAAGUUGUUAAAGAUUAUAACUUUUUUUAGGUUUAAAAUGUAAGUGUAGUGAUACAUUUAGUUUAUAAAUUCUAAUAGCUUUUUUUCUUUAUUUUUAUUAUUUUUUUUUAA